rnacentral:rRNA from 1 species
UACGUAGGGUGCGAGCGUUGUCCGGAAUUAUUGGGCGUAAAGGGCUCGUAGGCGGUCUGUCGCGUCGGGAGUGAAAACACGGGGCUUAACCCCGUGCCUGCUUCCGAUACGGGCAGACUAGAGGUAUGCAGGGGAGAACGGAAUUCCUGGUGUAGCGGUGAAAUGCGCAGAUAUCAGGAGGAACACCGGUGGCGAAGGCGGUUCUCUGGGCAUUACCUGACGCUGAGGAGCGAAAGUGUGGGGAGCGAACAGG